AACGCACAUUGCGCCCAUUAGUAUUCUAGUGGGCAUGCCUAUUCGAGCGUCAUUUCAACCCUUAAGCCUCUGUCGCUUAGCGUUGGGAGCCUACGUUUAUAACGUAGCUUCUGAAAGUUAGUGGCGGUGCUGGAGCACACUCUCAGCGUAGUAGUUUUCUUCUCGCUCCUGUAGUGGCCUCAGCAGCCUGCCGUAAAACCUUUAACUCUUAGUGGUUGACCUCGGAUUAGGUAGGAAUACCCGCUGAACUUAA
rnacentral:misc_RNA from 1 species